rnacentral:rRNA from 1 species
GUGAGGAAUAUUGCGCAAUGGAGGCAACUCUGACGCAGCCAUGCCGCGUGCAGGAAGAAGGCGCUACGCGUUGUAAACUGCUUUUAACCGGGAAGAAACCCCAGGACGUGUCCUGGGUUGACGGUACCGGAGGAAUAAGCACCGGCUAACUUCGUGCCAGCAGCCGCGGUAAUACGAAGGGUGCAAGCGUUAUCCGGAUUCAUUGGGUUUAACGGGUGCGUAGGCGGAGCGUUAAGUCAGUGGUGAAAUCCUGCAGCUUAACUGUAGACUUGCCAUUGAUACUGGCGCUCUUGAGUGCGCUUGAAGUGGGCGGAAUGUGCCGUGUAGCGGUGAAAUGCUUAGAUAUGGCACAGAACACCAAUUGCGAAGGCAGCUCACUAAGGCGAUACUGACGCUGAGGCACGAAAGCGUGGGGAUCGAACAGGAUUAGAAACCCGAGUAGUCC